UUCUUUGUAUUAUAUGUAAGUUUUGUUAAACUAAAUGUUCUAUUUUGCAGUAAUUUGAUUUAAUUAUCAAGUUAUUUUGGAUUUAGCAAUUGAUUUAGUAUCGGCAUAAUUCGUGCCAGCAGCCGCGGUUAUACGAUUGAUACAAGUGAAUAUUAUUGGUUAAAACAGUUGUUUAUAUAUUUUGGGUUAAAAUAUAAAUUUGUAAGGUGAAAUGUUAAAAUUUAUUUAUAGCUCUUUUUAUGAAUCUGUGAAAUUUAAAUAAUAAACUAGGAUUAGAUACCCUAUUAUUUUAAAUGUUAAUUAUAUUUACCAGGGUACUAUUAGUUAAGGUCUUUAAACCCAAAGAAUUUGGCGGUAUCUCAUUCCAUUCAGAGGAACCUACCCAGUGAUUGAUAAUACACGAUUUACUCUACUUUAUUGUUUUAAUUUAGCUUCAAUUUAGAUGAGAUAAGUCGUAACAUAGUAGAUGUACUGGAAAGUGUAUCUAGUAAGAGUUUCAA